UACGUAGGGCCCGAGCGUUGUCCGGAAUUAUUGGGCGUAAAGAGCUCGUAGGCGGUUUGUCGCGUCUGCUGUGAAAUCCCGAGGCUCAACCUCGGGUCUGCAGUGGGUACGGGCAGACUGGAGUGCGGUAGGGGAGAAUGGAAUUCCUGGUGUAGCGGUGGAAUGCGCAGAUAUCAGGAAGAACACCCGUGGCGAAGGCGGCUCUCUGGGACGGUACUGACGCUGAGACGCGAAAGCGUGGGGAGCAAACAGG
rnacentral:rRNA from 1 species